UGCUGCAUGGCUGUCGUCGGCUCGUGUCGUGAGAUGUUGGGUUAAGUCCGCAACGAGCGCAACCCCUAUCUUUAGUUGCCAUCAUUGAGUUGGGCACUCUAAAGAGACUGCCGGUGUCAAACCGGAGGAAGGUGGGGAUGACGUCAAGUCCUCAUGGCCUUUAUGACCAGGGCUACACACGUACUACAAUGGCCGGUACAAAGGGCAGCGACACAGCGAUGUGAAGCGAAUCCCGAAAAGCCGGUCUCAGUCCGGAUUGGAGUCUGCAACUCGACUCCAUGAAGUUGGAAUCGCUAGUAAUCGCGGAUCAGCACGCCGCGGUGAAUACGUUCCCGGGCCUU
rnacentral:rRNA from 1 species